AUUGAACGCUGGCGGCAGGCCUAACACAUGCAAGUCGAGCGGAUGAAGGGAGCUUGCUCCUGGAUUCAGCGGCGGACGGGUGAGUAAUGCCUAGGAAUCUGCCUGGUAGUGGGGGAUAACGUCCGGAAACGGGCGCUAAUACCGCAUACGUCCUGAGGGAGAAAGUGGGGGAUCUUCGGACCUCACGCUCUCAGAUGAGCCUAGGUCGGAUUAGCUAGUUGGUGAGGUAAAGGCCUACCAAGGCGACGAUCCGUAACUGGUCUGAGAGGAUGAUCAGUCACACUGGAACUGAGACACGGUCCAGACUCCUACGGGAGGCAGCAGUGGGGAAUAUUGGACAAUGGGCGAAAGCCUGAUCCAGCCAUGCCGCGUGUGUGAAGAAGGUCUUCGGAUUGUAAAGCACGUUAAGUUGGGAGGAAGGGCAGUAAGUUAAUACCUUGCUGUUUUGACGUUACCAACAGAAUAAGCACCGGCUAACUUCGUG
rnacentral:rRNA from 1 species